UUCCACAAAAAGAGUGUAUCAAAUCUGCUCUGUCUAAAGGAGGGUUCAACUCUGUGAGUUGAAUACACACAACACAAGGAAGUUACUGAGAAUUCUUCUGUCUAGCCUUAUAUGAAAAAAACCCGUUUCCAACGAAGGCCUCAAAGAGGUCUGAAUAUCCAAUUGCAGAUUUUACAAACAGAGUGUUUCCUAACUGCUCUAUGAAAAGGAAGGUUAAACUCUGUGAGUUGAACGCACACAUCACAAAGCAGUUUCUGAGAAUCAUUCUGUCUAGUUUUUAUACGAAGAUAUUUCCUUUUCUACCACUGACCUCAAAGCGGCUGAAAUCUCCACUUACAAAUUCCACAAAAAGAGUGUCUCAAAUCUGCUCUGUGUAAAGAACCGUUCAACUCUGUGAGUUGAAUACACACAACACAAGGAAGUUACUGAGAAUUCUUCUGUCUAGCAUAAUAUAAAGAAAUCCCGUUUCCAACGAAGGCCUCAAAGAGGUCUGAAUAUCCACUUGUAGACUUUACAAACAGAGUGUUUCCUAACUGCUCUAUGAAAAGAAAGUUGAAACUCUGUGAGUUGAACGCACACAUCACAAAGCAGUUUCUGAAAAUCAUUCUGUC
rnacentral:lncRNA from 1 species